rnacentral:rRNA from 1 species
AUUGAACGCUGGCGGCAGGCCUAACACAUGCAAGUCGAGCGGAUGAAGGGAGCUUGCUCCUGGAUUCAGCGGCGGACGGGUGAGUAAUGCCUAGGAAUCUGCCUGGUAGUGGGGGAUAACGUCCGGAAACGGGCGCUAAUACCGCAUACGUCCUGAGGGAGAAAGUGGGGGAUCUUCGGACCUCACGCUAUCAGAUGAGCCUAGGUCGGAUUAGCUAGUUGGUGGGGUAAAGGCCUACCAAGGCGACGAUCCGUAACUGGUCUGAGAGGAUGAUCAGUCACACUGGAACUGAGACACGGUCCAGACUCCUACGGGAGGCAGCAGUGGGGAAUAUUGGACAAUGGGCGAAAGCCUGAUCCAGCCAUGCCGCGUGUGUGAAGAAGGUCUUCGGAUUGUAAAGCACUGUAAGUUGGGAGGAAGGGCAGUAAGUGAAUACCUUGCUGUUUUGACGUUACCAACAGAAUAAGCACCGGCUAACUUCGUG